rnacentral:piRNA from 1 species
UCAGUGGUUAACGCUGCUUGCUC